rnacentral:rRNA from 1 species
CUAGCCGUAAACGAUGUAGACUAGGCGUUGGUGGAGUAAAAUUCAUCAGUGCCGCAGCAAACGCGAUAAGUCUACCGCCUGGGGAGUACGGCCGCAAGGUUAAAACUCAAAGGAAUUGACGGGGCCCCGCACAAGCAGCGGAGCGUGUGGUUUAAUUCGAUGCUACACGAAGAACCUUACCAGGGUUUGACAUAUAAGUGGUAGGGAAGGGAAACCGGACCGACCCUUCGGGGAGCUUAUACAGGUGC